AUUGAACGCUAGCGGGAUGCUUUACACAUGCAAGUCGAACGGCAGCGCGGACUUCGGUCUGGCGGCGAGUGGCGAACGGGUGAGUAAUGUAUCGGAACGUGCCCAGUAGCGGGGGAUAACUACGCGAAAGCGUAGCUAAUACCGCAUACGCCCUACGGGGGAAAGCAGGGGAUCGUAAGACCUUGCACUAUUGGAGCGGCCGAUAUCGGAUUAGCUAGUUGGUGAGGUAACGGCUCACCUAGGCGACGAUCCGUAGCUGGUUUGAGAGGACGACCAGCCACACUGGGACUGAGACACGGCCCAGACUCCUACGGGAGGCAGCAGUGGGGAAUUUUGGACAAUGGGGGCAACCCUGAUCCAGCCAUCCCGCGUGUGCGAUGAAGGCCUUCGGGUUGUAAAGCACUUUUGGCAGGAAAGAAACGUCGCGGGCUAAUACCCCGUGGAACUGACGGUACCUGCAGAAUAAGCACCGGCUAACUACGUG
rnacentral:rRNA from 1 species